rnacentral:rRNA from 1 species
UACGACGGGGGCUAGCGUUGCUCGGAAUCACUGGGCGUAAAGCGCACGUAGGCGGAUCUUUAAGUCAGGGGUGAAAUCCUGGAGCUCAACUCCAGAACUGCCUUUGAUACUGGGGAUCUCGAGUCCGGAAGAGGUGAGUGGAACUCCGAGUGUAGAGGUGAAAUUCGUAGAUAUUCGGAAGAACACCAGUGGCGAAGGCGGCUCACUGGUCCGGUACUGACGCUGAGGUGCGAAAGCGUGGGGAGCAAACAGG